GUUUAGCCCCGAUGGAAGCGGCAUCCCUCGCUUUUUCAGCGAGGAUACAGCGGACAGCGGGACAACUG
rnacentral:sRNA from 1 species